ACCUGGCUGGCUCAGUCAGUGGAGCAUGGGACUCUUGAUCUCAGGAUUGUGAGUUUAAGCCUCACACUGGGCA
rnacentral:tRNA from 1 species